rnacentral:rRNA from 1 species
CCUACGGGAGGCAGCAGUGGGGAAUAUUGGACAAUGGGCGAAAGUCUGAUCCAGCAAUGCCGCGUGAGUGAUGAAGGCCUUAGGGUCGUAAAGCUCUUUUACCAGGGAUGAUAAUGACAGUACCUGGAGAAUAAGCUCCGGCUAACUCCGUGCCAGCAGCCGCGGUAAUACGGAGGGAGCUAGCGUUGUUCGGAAUUACUGGGCGUAAAGCGUACGUAGGCGGUUAUUCAAGUCAGAGGUGAAAGCCCGGGGCUCAACCCCGGAACGGCCUUUGAAACUAGAUAGCUAGAGUCUUGGAGAGGUCAGUGGAAUUCCGAGUGUAGAGGUGAAAUUCGUAGAUAUUCGGAAGAACACCAGUGGCGAAGGCGACUGACUGGACAAGUACUGACGCUGAGGUACGAAAGCGUGGGGAGCAAACAGGAUUAGAUACCCUGGUAGUCCACGCCGUAAACGAUGAUAACUAGCUGUCCGGGUACUUGGUAUCUGGGUGGCGCAGCUAACGCAUUAAGUUAUCCGCCUGGGGAGUACGGUCGCAAGAUUAAAACUUAAAGAUAUAGACGNGNGAGAGCGACGACGACGACGAGGAGGAGAG